CUCCAGACUCCUACGGGAGGCAGCAGUGGGGAAUAUUGCGCAAUGGGGGAAACCCUGACGCAGCAACGCCGCGUGCGGGAUGAAGGCUUUCGGGUUGUAAACCGCUUUCAGCAGGGAAGAUAAUGACGGUACCUGCAGAAGAAGCCCCGGCUAACUACGUGCCAGCAGCCGCGGUAAUACGUAGGGGGCAAGCGUUGUCCGGAUUUACUGGGUGUAAAGGGCGUGUAGCCGGGCCGGCAAGUCAGAUGUGAAAUCCCAAGGCUCAACCUUGGAACUGCAUUUGAAACUGUUGGUCUUGAGUAUCGGAGAGGCAGGCGGAAUUCCUGGUGUAGCGGUGAAAUGCGUAGAUAUUAGGAGGAACACCAGUGGCGAAGGCGGCCUGCUGGACGACAACUGACGGUGAGGCGCGAAAGCGUGGGGAGCAAACAGGAUUAGAUACCCCAGUAGU
rnacentral:rRNA from 1 species